rnacentral:rRNA from 1 species
AACGAACGCUGGCGGCAUGCCUAACACACGCAAGUCGAACGAGACCUUCGUGUCUAGUGGCGCACGGGUGCGUAACGCGUGGGAACCUGCCUUUAUGCUCGGAAUAACUCUGAGAAAUUUGAGCUAAUACCGGAUGAUGUCUUCUGACCAAAGAUUUAUCGCCUUUAGAUGGGCCCGCGUUGUAUUAGCUAGUUGGUGGUGUAAAGGCCUACCAAGGCGACGAUCCAUAGCUGGUCUGAGAGGAUGAUCAGCCACACUGGGACUGAGACACGGCCCAGACUCCUACGGGAGGCAGCAGUGGGGAAUAUUGGACAAUGGGCGGAAGCCUGAACCAGCAAUGCCGCGUGAGUGAUGAAGGUCUGAGGGUUGUAAAGCUCUUUUACCCGAGAUGAUAAUGACAGUAUCGGGAGAAUAAGCUCCGGCUAACUCCGUG